UCAAGAAACUUCCACAAUGGGCGAAAGCCUGAUGGAGCGACGUCGCGUGAUGGACGAAGUGCUUCGGCACGUAAACAUCUUUUAUGUGGGAUGAAAUUAUUGACAGUACCACAUGAAUAAGGGGCUCCUAACUCUGUGCCAGCGGGAGCGGUAAUACAGAGGCCCCAAGCGUUAUCCGGAAUCACUGGGCGUAAAGGGUGUCGAGGCGGUUGUAUUAGUCGUUCGUAAAAUCUACGAGCUUAACUUGUAGGCGGCGAACGAAACGGUACGACUUGAGGUUUGGAGAGGUGCGUGGAACUCACGGUGUAGGGGUGAAAUCCGUUGAUAUCGUUGGGAACACCAAAGGCGAAGGCAGCGCACUGGCCAAAAUCUGACGCUCACACACGAAAGCUAGGGUAGCGAAGAGGAUUAGAUACCCCCGUAGUCCCUGAGCGGGCUGGCAAGGCGCAU
rnacentral:rRNA from 1 species